rnacentral:rRNA from 1 species
UACGUAGGGGGCGAGCGUUGUCCGGAGUUACUGGGCGUAAAGAGCUCGUAGGCGGUUUGUCGCGUCUGCCGUGAAAGUCCGGGGCUCAACUCCGGAUCUGCGGUGGGUACGGGCAGACUAGAGUGAUGUAGGGGAGACUGGAAUUCCUGGUGUAGCGGUGAAAUGCGCAGAUAUCAGGAGGAACACCGAUGGCGAAGGCAGGUCUCUGGGCAUUAACUGACGCUGAGGAGCGAAAGCAUGGGGAGCGAACAGG